AAAUAUAGUGUAUGGGCAUUCUCUUCCCGGUUCUUCCCGGAGUCAGGAAAAGCUGGGUUGAGAGGGCGAAAAAAAUUAACAA
rnacentral:pre_miRNA from 12 species